GAGGGCAUAGCUCAGUGGUAGAGUGCUUGCUUAGCAAUGCAUGAGGUCCUUGGUUCAAUCCCCAGUACCUCCA
rnacentral:tRNA from 1 species